GUUGUAUGGUUAAGUGACUAAGCGUACACGGUGGAUGCCUUGGCAGUCAGAGGCGAUGAAAGACGUAGUAACUUGCGAUAAGCCCAGAUUAGGUAGUAACAACCAUUUGAGUCUGGGAUUUCUGAAUGGGGAAACCCACGUGCAUAAGCACGUAUCCUUACCUGAA
rnacentral:rRNA from 1 species